GUCCGCUUCCUUGCUUGCACCCGUCCGGGUGGGCUACGACCCCUGAGGUAGAGGAAGCAACCAUUUCAAAGAGGC
ncrna:unclassified sequences Fibro-purF